AUUGAACGCUGGCGGCAGGCCUAACACAUGCAAGUCGAGCGGAUGAAGGGAGCUUGCUCCUGGAUUCAGCGGCGGACGGGUGAGUAAUGCCUAGGAAUCUGCCUGGUAGUGGGGGAUAACGUCCGGAAACGGGCGCUAAUACCGCAUACGUCCUGAGGGAGAAAGUGGGGGAUCUUCGGACCUCACGCUAUCAGAUGAGCCUAGGUCGGAUUAGCUAGUUGGUGGGGUAAAGGCCUACCAAGGCGACGAUCCGUAACUGGUCUGAGAGGAUGAUCAGUCACACUGGAACUGAGACACGGUCCAGACUCCUACGGGAGGCAGCAGUGGGGAAUAUUGGACAAUGGGCGAAAGCCUGAUCCAGCCAUGCCGCGUGUGUGAAGAAGGUCUUCGGAUUGUAAAGCACUUUAAGUUGGGAGGAAGGGCAGUAAGUUAAUACCUUGCUGUUUUGACGUUACCAACAGAAUAAGCGUCGGCUAACUUCGUG
rnacentral:rRNA from 1 species